UUGGAAGACAAUAGAGAAUUUGAUGAUCAAUCUCAUGGGGUAAUUAAACUAAUAAACUUGACAUCCCCAUUCUUAAUUAGGCCUUUUCCUUUUCCUUUUCCUUUUCCUUUUCCUUUCCCUUGUUGGGUGAUGAAACUCUGCCAUCUGUCCCUGCCAUCAUAGCAUAUUUGUCCUUCCUGGUCAAAUUGGUGCACUCAAAACCUAAAGUCCCAGCCAAAACCCUCUGAAUAUAAUUUGCAACUUCAAUGGCAGAUUUCCCUCCUCUGCAAGUGAGCUCUGCAGGCAGCUGGUUCAAGAAGGUGAUCUCAUAAGUAGGCAUAGGGUUCAUGAACACAAAGUAUGGGUCCAGCAAUUUGUGCCCUCUAACUGUCG
rnacentral:lncRNA from 1 species